GAGACGGUAUUUUUGAGUUUAUACUGCGUUCAUCUUUCGUAAAUUUCAUAAAUUGAAGUUAAAAUGUCUGACAAAUCAAUAGUUUCUCGACAUAAAUUGGUUAAUACUUGAUGCUUUUUGCGGAGAAUGUCCAGCUGGAUUGACUAAUGUAUUCAAAAAUAUAGGAUCUCGUUUAAAAAAGCAUCGGCGACCAUCGUAUCAAUAAAAAUAUCAAAUUAUGUCCGUCUCGAAAUCAUUCAACUUCUCCUGAAACAUUUUUCAAUGUUAUCAAAAAACAAGCGAGAUAAUCCGGGUGAUAAAUCGAGCGGAAUACAAAUCGAGGUAAAAGGGAUUUCGAACGAGUCGAAUAAAUUUUCGGGCCGCCUACUGUCCUGGGAGAAGGGUGGAACUUGAUUGGAAGCCGAUUAGGAUUUAUAAGGUUGCUCGAACGAGUACGUUAGCUUUGCUCCUCUAAAACGAUGUAGGUAGAUCGAAAGGGGAAGGAAAAUGGGAUCAGCCGGAAGUAAGCACGAGAAGCCGGAAUAAACGAUGAAAGCACAAGUGAACAGCCGAAAGAAGAGAUGUACAGUGGCGAAUUGAAGAACAUUUAUAAAAUAAAUGUGAAGAUAAGGAAUAUGAAAAGACAACUUAAUUUUACAAAAUCCGUUUAUGUUCGAUAGGAGCAAUGGGUAAAUGUAUGCAAUAUAUACCACAGAAUAAAU
rnacentral:misc_RNA from 1 species